rnacentral:rRNA from 1 species
AUUGAACGCUGGCGGCAGGCCUAACACAUGCAAGUCGAGCGGUGCGGCCGGCGGGUGAGUAAUACCUAGGAAUCUGCCUGGUCGUUGGGGAUAACGUUCGGAAACGGACGCUAAUACCUCAUCCUUUCAGAUGAGCCUAGGUCGGAUGAGCUAGUGGGGGAGGUAAGUGCUCACCAAGGCUACGAUCCGUAGCUGGUCUGAGAGGGUGAUCAGUCAAACUGGAACUGAGACACGGUCCAGACUCCUACGGGAGGCAGCAGUGGGGAAUAUUGGACAAUGGGCGAAAGCCUGAUGCAGCCAUGCCGCGUGUGUGAAGAAGGUCUUCGGAUUGUAAAGCACUUUAAGUUGGGAGGCGUUACCGACAGAAUAAGCACCGGCUAACUCUGUGCCAGCAGCCGCGGUAAUAC